rnacentral:rRNA from 1 species
AAAUUUUAACGGCCACGGUACCCUAACCGUGCGAAGGUAGCAUAAUCACUUGUUCUUUAAAUGGGGACUUGUAUCAACGGCAUCACGAGGGUUCUACUGUCUCCUUUAUCUAAUCAGUGAAACUAAUCUCCCCGUGAAGAAGCGAGGAUAACACUAUAAGACGAGAAGACCCCAUGGAGCUUUAAACCCAAUUAUAUUCCCAAUCCCUACAACCAUUUAAUCCUUUGGGUCCUAUAUACUUGGUUUUAGGUUGGGGCGACCACGGAGUAAAACUAAACCUCCAUGAUGUACGGAACAACCUCCUUAUCUAAGAGCCACAGCUCUAAGGAUUAGCACACUAUCAUGUGGUGGCCCGUUUUUGAUCAACGAACCAAGUUACCCUGGGGAUAACAGCGCAAUCCAUUUUAAGAGCCCCACGAAAAAGGGUUU